ACAUUCAUCCUGAUUGCAUUAGACCAUACAAAGAUCUUUGCAAUUUGAUUGAAAACAUUUCCCGUGACUUUGAAUUAUGAGUGUUUGGCAUUUUGAAUCCAUCGGGAAUUUUCAUGUAUAUCUCAUUAUCAAGUGAGCCAUAAAGAUAGGCAGUAACCACAUAUAUUUUCCGAGAUUUUGAAUUAUGUGCAUUAGGCAUUUUAAAUCGCUAAAAUUUUUUCAUGUAUCUCUAUUAUCAAAUGAGCCAUAAAGGUAGGCGGUAACCACAUCCAUUAAAUGCAUGUCAAGCUUUUCAUGGACAACAAAACUAAUAAGAUAACG
rnacentral:lncRNA from 1 species